rnacentral:rRNA from 1 species
GUCCCAGUUCGGAUUGUAGUCUGCAACCCGACUACAUGAAGCCGGAAUCGCUAGUAAUCGCGGAUCAGAAUGCCGCGGUGAAUACGUUCCCGGGUCUUGUACACACCGCCCGUCACACCAUGGGAGUCGGAAAUGCCCGAAGCCGGUGACCCAACCCGAAAGGGAGGGAGCCGUCGAAGGCAGGUCGGAUGACUGGGGUGAAGUCGUAACAAGGUAUC